GCGAGGUCUGGUUCGCCCGAGGCGGGCGGGAUACGCGGGCCGCCCCUGAGAGGGCGUCGGGCCGGGAGGAGGUGCGCUGGGGCGUCUCCGCCGGGCCCCAGGGUUUCCCAAACGGGGAACCGACCGGGGCGCGGGUUCCUCCCGGUAACUCGGCCUGGAGGUGGUCAGAUAAAUCGUGCGUCUGAAGGUUUGUUCACAACCGUUACUGGAGUCCAACAGCCCUGGCGGCCCGGGUGUCUUCGAGACCAGUACCUGGCUUUAAGUCUUUGGGGGACACGUUUCCCUUUGAGAAGCCGAUGAAAGCCGAAAAUUUCUCCAUUGCCUUCUUAUUAGAAUUAAAAUAAGAUAAUAGAUUUUAUGAGCUGUUGGAAACUAAGCUUUGCAUUUUGAUUAACAGUAUUAUUAUCUAUAGAUGGGAACACACUUGAUCCUAUUCCAAGGUCAUUGUAGGACCAAAUGCUACAAUGUCUUACAAAUAAUACACUCUUAACAGUGUGUGAUCCAGAUUCUGUUAUUAUUCCUGAUUACAAAUAAAGAAGCCAGGCCCAAGGGGGAUGAAUGCGGGGGUCCCGCUG
rnacentral:lncRNA from 1 species